rfam:Brassica napus, WGS project CCCW01000000 data, contig: 14063
CUUACAGAUUUCUUUGGCAUUCUGUCCACCUCCUUUGUAUAUAAAUGUAAGUAUAUCGGUUGUGUGUGAAAGAAGGAGGUGGUCAUACUGCCAGUAGACAUCUGUUAG